GGGGGAGCAAUUCAAAAAGUUAAAUUGGAAACAUUUGAAUGAUAUAGGGGGAGACUUCACUCUCAUAUUUGAAAAACUGAAAUUCAGCAACUUGAGCCCUUUUAAGACUGAUUUUAAGACAAGUAUCAAUAGGCUCAUACUGUAUAUUUUGUAAUCAUCAAAAAGGGGGAGAUUGAGGAUGAUAGUGUUAUUUUGAUGAUUAACAAGCAAUAAUCGAGAGUAUGCUAUAAGUUAAUUCGAUACUUCAUUUAUAAGUCUGUUACUCUCAGUAUAUUUGUAUAAUAAGUUAAAGAUGCAUUUCAUUGUUUACUUGGAUGAAUCUAACCUUGAGUUGCAGCAAAGUGUGGAUUGAGUCGACCCAAAGGAUGAUUGAGUCGACCUCGG
rnacentral:lncRNA from 1 species